GCAGUCGAACGGUGAUAGCAAUAUCAUAGUGGCGCACGGGUGCGUAACACGUAUGCAACCUACCUAUUAUUGGGGGAUAGCCUUUGGAAACGGAGAUUAAUACCGCAUAAUACGAUUGACUGGCAUCGGUUGAUUGUUAAAGCUUCGGCGAUAAUAGAUGGGCAUGCGUCCAAUUAGUUAGUUGGUUAGGUAACGGCUGACCAAGACGAUGAUUGGUAGGGGAUCUGAGAGGAUAAUCCCCCACACUGGCACUGAGAUACGGGCCAGACUCCUACGGGAGGCAGCAGUAGGGAAUAUUGGGCAAUGGGCGGAAGCCUGACCCAGCCACGCCGCGUGCAGGAAGAAGGCGUUAUGCGUUGUAAACUGCUUUUUUAUAGGAAGAAGGAUCCCUUGCGAGGGAAGGUGACGGUACUAUAAGAAUAAGCACCGGCUAACUCCGUGCCAGCAGCCGCGGUAAUACGGAGGAUGCAAGCGUUGUCCGGAUUUAUUGGGUUUAAAGGGUGCGUAGGCGGUUUAUUAAGUCAGUGGUGGAAGACGGUCGCUCAACGAUUGCAGUGCCAUUGAUACUGGUAGACUUGAGUGAGAUUGAGGUAGCUGGAAUGGAUGGUGUANGCGGUGAAAUGCAUAGAUAUUAUCCAGAACACCGAUUGUGAAGGCAGGUUACUAAGUCUUAACUGACGCUGAG
rnacentral:rRNA from 1 species